AUAUGCAUCUGUAUCAAGUAUACGUAUCGAGUGUCAUGUAAAAGCAGAGCGUGAGUCUCCUCCCUCAUAUAUUUAUAUUCCAAGGGUAUCCCGUUUCCCCACGUUACGCGGCGGCACAUGAUAUAAUAAUGGGGCCAAACUAACCUACCCCAAUAGGAAAGGAGCUUCGAAACGGAGGGUCGUAAACUCCCUUGGUCCCGGUCCUCCCUCGACUCACCCCGAGAAGGAUGAGGGUGAAGCUGAGCGAGGGUGAGGAGUCGUCCCAACACCCUAUCAGACAACCCUAACCUAUCCCACGACUGAGUGACGUGGUGAGAGAGGUAGAAUCUGUGGCGUCGCUGCUGUAUCCACUUUCAGCAGCUUGAUGAAGUAGAGCUGGCAUCUUGUCUAUAUAGACAGAUACCCUUCGACGUCGAAGUCCAGAAAAGCUAAAGAGUGGAUAUCGACCUUUCAAAGAGACACACUAACUUUCGGACGUACACAAAAUUACCUAACUAGGAGUCUGAGGUACGUAAGGGCUGAAGGAUGAGGAGACAUAAAACUCAAGGAUGGGUUAUCUAAAGAAAAUCCGUACCCGCCGCAAGGAACUCCUACCCUUUUUACAAGCGACCUUAAUUUUACUCGGCAAAUUAGAUUGGCGAAAGAUUCGAUUUGAAUUUUAAUCCCGUUCGAAGUCAGAACGGAAGGUGAAAGAGGCUGCGCGCGAAAAGGGAAAGAAAAAGAAAUAAAGGAAAGCAGAGAGGAGAAAGUAAGAGGUAAAUUAUCAAAGAAUAUUUUCUACAGAAAAGCGGAAGCAAGUCCCGACAGCACCUUUAACCUUUUCCAACCGUCCAACCCGAUGCGACCAUCUUGACCCGUCCUAUCUUUUACGCUUCGGCGUACCCUAGUCUUCUUUUAGAGCGUCGUGACGUAACAACGUCUCACACACGGCCAAGAGAUACGACGUAAUACUUACCAGCACAAGGACAGCAACGCGUACCUUGAAACCUCGAGUACGUCCACCACCACCACCACCAUCUUCCAGGGUCUUCCACGUCUCCACAUGCUCACCGUAGCUUCACCAGCCGUCCAAUGUGUAACGUAGUGCGAGGAUGAGACCGACGCCGACGUCGCACUUCUAACACACGUAUACUCAUCACACAGCCAGAAGCGUCUACUUCGCUGACACCGUCGCUCAGCCCGUCAAUACACUUUGCCGAGGAGAUGUUCCACCAAGUUGGCUGCCUGGCUCCUCUCGUGGACAUGCUUCAUAUCCUUUGGGCCUUUGGGCAAUGAACGCUGCUACCACUGAAGUUCUGUUUUAGUGUGCGACCAGACAUAUUGGUUCUGCCAGGAUGCUUAGAACAUAGCAGCUGUCAACCUACUUGUACCUGGGUAAAAUACGUACCUUCGGGGUAGACGUCUUUGUAGCUUGGAAGGAACCCUCGUACGAAGUGCUAGGAGAAGGCUUUAAGGUUGGUACUUGUUACUUCUGUUAUUCCUGGAGUGAUUGACAUAGAGACCACCUGACGCUACCAGAAAUACUGUCGAUGUUCACUUAGGACUCAUCUAGUGCUACCUGGUGCUUGUAAACGUGACUCCACGAUACGAUACCAACGUGCAAGGUUCUACCUAUGGUUUAACGUAUCAUGACUGUAACAAGGAGCGUAUAAAUCCCCUGCGAUACCGCAGAUCGCAUCUAGACGGUCAAGGAUGAUGGUGAGGAAGGAUUGUAGCUGACAGGUGGACCUGGGAGAUUCCGGGAUGGAAUGAUUUUUCUUCUAGGAUAUUGUAAAAAUAAUUUUUUAAUGGCUGAAGGACAACGAUUACAUAAAUAGGGUUAUAUCAUCUUUUUUAUAAGAAUAUUUAUGCUUUGGAUUAUCAUUAUUUUUAAUUGUACAUAAACGAGGUUUUUACUUUUCUUUCGUUCAUCUUUGGUUCCCGGACCGUUCUGGUUGGAUGCUUCACCUCAGGAAAGUUUCCAGCUAGUCUGCAUAAACAUCACGAGCAAAAGUGAGAGUGGUAACGUCAGCCGAGUUAAGUUUCAGCUCUAAAAAGGACAAUGCCAGGAUAAUAACGCUGUAGGAAACUUCGUGCUGUAAGAAACCAGCUAUACCAUAGGUAAAUUUAAUUAAUCUUUCAUCUCCAUAGAAAUAGGAGACUCCUAUUUAAUCGCAUAAAAAAAUAAUAAUAUGCAUUACGUACAAAUAUACGUUAUCCUUAUUGAUAUUUCAGAAUAUACAUUAAUCAUUUCAAGAAAGUAAUGUAUACAUAUAAAUUCCCUACUGGUGUGAUGGAACGGAUCUAUAUUUUUCGUCGGGUAGCAACGGACCUUUAUCCUGGAGACUCAUCUUCCUAAUCUAGGAGAAAGGCGUAGUGCCAUCGAUACCAGUGGAAAGUCCUGGUUGCAAGCGGGCACUGGGUGCAACCAGGAGUGGGCACUUUUUUCCCGUUGAGAGAUAGGGUCUUCUGGGUGUGUAAACCCUGUUACUUAUGGAGGCCAUUCCGGUCUGCGGGCUCGGCGGCCUCCGGCUGAGGGGUUUUAAGGACUUAGCUCGACAUUAGCGUCCCAGGGGCGAGUUGCACCAGCAGCAAGGGGGAUCGGUACCGGCUGGAUAGGGCCACAAGGGUUGAGUGGGUUCAGAAGGUUCGCAGGAGACCGUCCCAGAGAAGGGGUCGAGGGCCAGAGAGUUCUGGGUACAGAUGGGAGGACCAGAAAGGGGGAUGUGGGAUGGAUGUGCGGCGAUUUGGUUUCCAAUCAUGGGACGACGGGACGCGCCUCUAUCGAGCGAGCAGGGCUCCGGCCAUCCAAACCCAUCCCCUAUUCUAUCCCCUAACCCCUACCUCAUCCUAGCCCAUCCCGACCCAUCCUACGGCGUCCUACCUCAUCCUCCUUUGCUUCGAGCCAUGUCAGUGCUGGUGCAAACCAACCCAACCCAAACUCUCCUUCGCCUGCACCUCCAAGUCUCAACGAACCACCACCCACUUUCAACCCUAGGCCACCCUCGACCACCCUUGCUCUGGCUCCUCCACCGCUACUGCCGACGUCGUCGACGACGACGACGAAGACGAUGGCGACGCCAUCCCUGUAGCCUCCUCCACCAUCUAGUGCACACACACUUCUGGACCCUCGAUGUCGUCCGCACUUUCCCGCAGCAGUCCCCAACCUAGGCCAAUCUGCAACCCUUCCGGUCUUUAAUUAUUGCGGGUCUGCUACCCUCCCCCUGCACGUUUUAUCCCUUUGGUAUCUCUUCUUUCCACACUCGAAAAUUUCUAAUCACGAUCUUCUGAUACAAUUUUUUUUUUUUUUUUCUUACUUUCAUUUACAUGGUACAGUACGAUGACUGAUAUGCGACGCUUUAUAUUUUCCUAUAUAUAUAUACAGUAGCUUACCGUUUGAGGACAUUAUAAGAUAAAAAGAAUGACGGUUAACUUAGUGCUUGGCUUACCACUCUCAACUUAUUUCCUAUGAACUUUAGUAAAGUAACUUCGCUUCCGGCCCUCCUGUCCUCCUAGGAUUCUUGAUGUCUUCCAGUACGGAAGGAUCCUCACAAAAUGAUCCCUGAUUCAAGCGCUGAGAAGCAUUCUAAUGUCCCAGAGAAAUUCAGUGAAAUCAUAGCCAGACGAAAGAGCACGACCCUUCGCAAAGAUGUUUCGCGCACUUCCUUCCUGAGUCCCCGUUUCGUAUCGACGUCCCAUGACAGCGUGAUCUCUCGAGAAAUAUUUCUGCUUCUUAUUUACAUCCAGAUGGAACCUAAGAUCCGAAUACUCCUAUACCGGAGUAUUUUAUCGAACGCCAGUUUGACCCAGAGACACGAGUACGACGGCAAGUGCAUACGUACACAAUAUACUCUCGUAAACGGAACUUCCCUUAUUUACACGCUCUCAUUGUUUACAAGUUGACUGAGGGUGGGCCCGGGAUGGAAAGAGGGUCGUUGCAAGUGUUUUUCACCGACCGUCACAAAACGCAUCCCCUGAACUCGCUGAAUCCUCUGAACUUAUUCCCCCGUCACCCCUCUGUCCUUCGUACCACCAUUUAUGAUUCUUCAAUUAACUCCAUUCGCCCUGUUCUUUACCCACUUACACGUAUUCACCUAUAUUUCUGAAAAGCAGCUCAACCACCCAUGGCUCCAACCCCAAUGCCAAAUAUAGGUACAAGAGUUUCCUACCGUACCCCUUCCUGCUGGAACUCUGUCUAAAUAUAUUAUAAAAGUUUACUCCCAGAUACCGGAUAUCCGGGAACGUGUGAAAUAAAUACGACCUCAAGUAAAUCGUGACGUAAUAUCAGGACCAAGAUCGUAAAAGCAUUUUAUGCUUGAUCCACAGUGUCUAACUGCGCAAGACCCUUCAUUUCAAUGAACAAUACCCCCCGCAAAGAUGCCCUUAAUACCCGUCCCUGAGUCAGCUCCAGGGUAGCACUCGACUACAGGGCGCUGCAGUUGUCGCAAAGUGCGUAGGGGUUGAGCACCCGUUUGAUGCCCUACAUAGCGGAGACUGUUGGAGGCCGUGGGGGGGUGUUCGGAGGGUGGCUGGGCAGGGACGAAAGUGGGCGUCCGGGAGUGGGUGGCGGGGGGAUGAAAAGCGGUAGGCAACGUAGGAUGAGGUUGAGGAGGAGGUGGUGGCUCGACAGCGGGGCGGUGGGGUGGCUCUUUGGGGCUCUGAAAAUGCAGCGUAAUUUGUCUUUGUCUGGUGGAGGCGAGCGCCGGCGGUAAGGCCGAGGGGUAGGUAUAGGUUGUGCCGAAGGGUGAGUACGAGGAUGAGGUUGAGCAUGAAGGGUGCGGGGCCAGGAGGUGGUACAGAGUUCGGCCGUGGGAAGGUGGCGGAGAACCUCGGAGAAGCCGGAAGGUAUGGAGGCGCUGGAAGAGUGAGCUCGAGGUUGUGGGUGGAUGUGGAGGAGGAAGAGGUUGGUCGAGGUGGAGAAGGAAGGUGCGCUAGGCUAGGGGGAGAUUCCGUGCUUGACCCGCCUGGGAUCGAUGCGUUCGUCUGCCAGAACGCCGAGCCGAGACGCCCGCGUCCUUCCUUCUCCUCUGCUUCGUCUGCCUUUCCCCGACGAAGCUGCCUCCGUCGCCUCCAACGUCGCUCGUCGGCGCAACGCACACGCCGUUAACCGCACUGCAACGCGUUGCACGCUAUACCGUCUCAGUACGGUUACCACUACCAGGAUACCCUUGACGACCACCAGCACGAACACCGGAGCACCACCACCAUCAUCGGGAGCAGCAUCGUCAGGAACUACCAUCCGCCACUGCUACGAACGCACGGUACUACCACUUCUACUGGUAUUACUCGCUAG